UCCGUAGGCGGAUUGAUAAGUCAGAGGUGAAAUCCCACAGCUCAACUGUGGAACUGCCUUUGAUACUGUUAGUCUUGAGUCAUAUGGAAGUAGAUAGAAUGUGUAGUGUAGCGGUGAAAUGCAUAGAGAUUACACAGAAUACCGAUUGCGAAGGCAGUCUACUACGUAUGUACUGACGCUAAUGGACGAAAGCGUGGGGAGCGAACAGGAUUAGAUACCCUGGUAGUCC
rnacentral:rRNA from 1 species